UACGUAGGGUGCAAGCGUUAUCCGGAAUUAUUGGGCGUAAAGCGCUCGUAGGCGGUUUGUCACGUCUGCUGUGAAAACUGGAGGCUCAACCUCCAGCCUGCAGUGGGUACGGGCAGACUAGAGUGCGGUAGGGGAGAUUGGAAUUCCUGGUGUAGCGGUGGAAUGCGCAGAUAUCAGGAGGAACACCGAUGGCGAAGGCAGAUCUCUGGGCCGUAACUGACGCUGAGGAGCGAAAGCAUGGGGAGCGAACAGG
rnacentral:rRNA from 1 species